AGGCUUGGGUAUGGUGUUGAUGUAAGAAGGCACAUGCUCUUUGGGUUUUCCGAUCAUUUGGCUUGAUAAAGUUGCCCGUGCCAAAUAUUUGAGCUCAACUGAUAAGACCUUCAUGAUGCUAUCACAAUUAUUGUGUAAUUCGAGAGUACCUGUAGAAAUAAGCGUUACCUGUUAUCGUUUAAUGUUUCCAAUUAUGUUUUGUGCACUUGAGCUGCCGUUUCUGUACUACAUUUGAAGACCCGAAUGUAUUUAGUUACAUUUUAUUGCAUAUGUUCCGACCGACAGUUAUGUUUAUAAUCUCCACUAUUCAAGUGUGGAUGUUUAGUAUAAUACGGAUAACCAACAUGGGAGGAACUUUGUGAAAGCAUUGCUGUUUUAUGCAAGUAUGUAUGAAGCAGUUGCACAUUGGCAAGGUCGGGAACUGCUUGACUUGUGGACAGCUGUUAUGCCAGUCUUUUUAAUCGCAUUGCAGACAGUCUUUUAACAAACCUCAGUUAUGCUCACUGUGGUAAGUUAUAUGGCUGCAGUUGCAUACUCAUAGUUGUACUUCAUUGCAUUAGCAUGCCACUUAGCAAAAGGGAGACAAUUACAAUACUUGCAUGCAAUUGUGGUUGGCAUUGGGGCAGAGCUGUAUGACCUGCUCCUGAUUUUGCGCAUUCUAUUUCUGCUUGUAGGGGUGCUGCUAAAACUCUAUUUCUUCCUAAAUUUGUGGCUACAGUUUUAUUAUUAAAAGAGAAAACAAAAGUCAGCGUUACAUAUUUUUUGUAUUGCUUGUUAAAACCCCAGCACCUGUACAGUUUGGCGUCACGGAUGUCAAUGUGGUUUCUUGUACUUUGGCCAUUGUGGCAUAGUCAAGUUCUCAAAACUUCAGAAAUUCAUGCCGACCACAAAUAAAAAGAAAAAUGUGUCCAGAAAAUGAACAUUAUUUUUUAUUGCGCAUCUGGAUAGCCAGCUUAUUGCAGAUUCGAAAUAUAUGUGACAUGGGAGUAGCAAAUUCACAAUUGUGUCCGAAAAUACACAAAUUUAGGUACUGGCAGAAGGUUUCAUUAACUCGCAUUGUUCGUUGCCACGCUGUAUCAGAACUAUUGUCGUAGUCAGCGACAUCAAAGUCCCUGGUUGUGUACAGCACAAAAAACAUUGCCAUCACUAUCAGUGCUUUAAUGCAGAAGUAAAUCAUCUUCAGAGCUUGAUGACAAUGAAAUGAAAGCCGCGCUUUCGCAAUGGGUGCAGAAACGUGCAACUGGCAGCUACCUUCUUUAAAAACUCUACCAGACGAACCUAUACAGAACAGAGUCUAUAGGCCUUCUUGUGCAAAGAGGGAACUUGCCAGAACAUCAGAAUGGAUUGGAUGAGCCCGGCCCGUUACUGGCACUCGGAAAGAGCACCCGAUCGGACUGGCCAGACUCGUCCUUGGCACUAAUUGCAACAAAAAAUUGUAACAGAGUAUGACUCGUCCACAGCACUUAAAGGGUUAAUUUGCUGAAGCUGCAUGUUUUCUUCAUGGGGACAUCAGUAGGGCACACACUUUGACAUCGAAAACUGGCUGUGAGUGAUUAUUGCUUCCGAGUGCUAUGAAAGUAAAAAAAAAUUGUGUGCCCAGUCAAGAAAACA